ACCCUUCCAGUUCUAUCUCUUCUCCGCUAAAGAGUAUGUGGUCCACGAGACUGUUAAAUCCUUCUACAACGAGAGCCAAUAGGGACUACUCUACCCACUCUAAUCUCCGGAUGACUGUCUCCGUCAUAUCCCCCACUUCUACCAUAGCUAUAUGCAACUACCCUCUCACUCAAUCUAGGAAUAAUCUUGUCAUCUCUCAC
rnacentral:lncRNA from 1 species